AUACUUUUCUGGUUCAUAAGUGUUAUGAUUGGGUUUUCAUACUAUUGCAUGAGAUAUGCCUCCUUCUAAACCUUGUUAUGACAUUGGCGUAUUACCCAUUUAGUG